rnacentral:rRNA from 1 species
UACGUAGGGUGCGAGCGUUGUCCGGAAUUAUUGGGCGUAAAGGGCGCGUAGGCGGCUUUGCAAGUGACGGGUGAAAUCCCUCGGCUUAACCGAGGAACUGCCUGUCAAACUGCAUGGCUUGAGACCGGGAGAGGUGAGUGGAAUUCCCAGUGUAGCGGUGAAAUGCGUAGAUAUUGGGAGGAACACCAGUGGCGAAGGCGGCUCACUGGACCGGAACUGACGCUGAGGCGCGAAAGCGUGGGGAGCAAACAGG